AUAAAAUGGUCGUACUGAGAGUAUAUUAGAAAGCCAUUUCCAAACAAGUCAUUUGUAGUAGAAAAUCCACCGAAACACAAUGAUCUUUCACAACAGGCAACCAGUGAUCCGCAUAUAUUUCUCCAUCUUAUUAUUUUACACAAAUUUAGUAUCAAUAUUUGGAGACUGCAACGCUGAAAACCGAUUGUUUGUCAUUAGAAGCGUACCAUCUGGGUUAGUUGUUUCUGCUAGUGAGCUUCCGUACAUCACAAUACAUGUUUACACUGGCGGUGAAGAGCAGUUAUGGAAGUUCGAACGAGGAAGCGAACCUAAUUAUUACCAUAUAAUUAAUAACGCCACAGGGGUUGUGUUAGAUAUUGCAAAUUGUGUCGGCGAUCACUGCGACGUUUUUGGUAACCCAAGGAAUGAUGCAUUGAAACAACAGGAGUGGAUUAUAAAUUCAAACACGAAGAUCGUUAAUGCUGCGGUUGUUCAGAAUUUGGAUAUAACUGAUGGAAACUAUACUUCCGGAGCUCGUCUAGGACUGUGGCACGAUGGUCAACUUCCACAACAAGAAUUUUUUCUACAAGAAAAAUUAUUUUUGGAUGAAAUUAUAAAUAGACUAUCCACAGACUAGAAAAGCGACACAUACUGAAAAACUUAUUGCUGUUAAAUUUAUGUAAAUCUUUCAAUGAUAAUGUUGGUUUUUGUGACAAAACAAAUUUGUAAAAGAAAUAUACACAAAUAAGGCAAAAA